UGAUAAUCCACGGCUCUCACUUCAAAACCAUUCAACAAUAAAACCCCACACUCUCUUUUGGUUUUUGAGCAAUAUAGCUUCCCAUAGUAACUAGUAUCUUUCACUUCUUCAAUCCACAAACCUCUCUCUCUUCACGGGUAAUCAUCUCUUGCUUCUGAUUGCAAAUUAUUAUAUGCUUAUGAAGCCAAACACAGUUUUUUAGGUAAAGGUGCUAUAAUGGAUGCGAGAUUCGAAGAUGGAGAUCAUUCAAAUGUGUAGGAAGACUUAAACAUGUCUGGAGAUACAACUGCUUAAUGGUAAAAAAUUUGGUAUGUUGUUUUUUUUCUAUUUGUGUUUAUCUUGAAAUUGGACCUUCAUAAUAUUACAAUUCUUUCUUUUUAGGCAUAUAGGCUUAUAUAGUUGCAUUUGAAUGUGCGAAUGAGAUAAAACUUAGCAAUUGUUGAACUUUUAUUAAUUAUUAAAUUGAGAUAUCACAAUAUUACAAAGGUGUUAUAUCAACAAGCACAUAUAUGGAAAUAAGGAGUUUGUCAUUGUGAUUGUUGUCGGUUCAUUCCUUCACGGAAGCUAGCUAGCAUUAGCAUGGAUUGUUGAACAUGAUUGACAAAUAGCACGCGUCGCCAUUAACGGAAGCAAAGUUGAUCAUAUCGGUGAAAAAAAUUUCUGGUUAUUAACCUUGUUGAUGAUUUAAACCAAAAACCGAAGUGUAAUAAACCUUGUGAUUAUUCUAAGUUUGUUACAUUGAAAUUUCUCAUGAAAGAUAUAGAAAUUUAUCAUAU